UGUGUGGCUGCUUGUCUUGGGUCACAUGAGGCAUGUCACAUGACACAUUAGGAGAUUAUAAAGUUUGGCUUGUGGAGUUCAUACUCUCUUGCUGCUGCCAUUUGCCACUGCAACUAGACUCCCGUCAUACAGGGUGACUGCUAGAACAAUGUGUUCCACUCUUUAUGAAGGACACAGGUGACUGCGUGGCAUUUGAAGGACUUGUGACCUCCUAUUGAGUUGCUGGGCUGCAGACACUCUGCACUGGAGUGCCCCAUUUUAUCUUCCUGGGUUAUUGUGCUGCGGGGAGUAUUGAACACUCUUGCAAAGUAGGCCAAUACUUCUUGUAUAUGUUGGUUUUAUGUGUGCUGGUGAAUGAAAUUGGGGAUUAAUGUGGUAUUAUUUCUUUUUAAAGGGACCAGGCCAGCCACUGUUUUAUUGUCAGUGUACAAGUCUUUUUUUUUAGUUUGUUUGUUGGUUGUUUUGUUUGCCUUUGGCUUUGUCCUUUUUUUUUUUGGUCCUUGGUCUAGUGUAACCCUGCCUUG